UACGUAGGGGGCUAGCGUUGUCCGGAAUCAUUGGGCGUAAAGCGCGUGUAGGCGGCCCGGUAAGUCCGCUGUGAAAGUCGGGGGCUCAACCCUCGGAUGCCGGUGGAUACUGUCGGGCUAGAGUGCGGAAGAGGCGAGUGGAAUUCCUGGUGUAGCGGUGAAAUGCGCAGAUAUCGGGAGGAACAUCGAUGGCGAAGGCAACCACCUGGGCCUGAACUGACACUGAGACACGAAAGCGUGGGGAGCAAACAGG
rnacentral:rRNA from 1 species